rnacentral:rRNA from 1 species
CCUACGGGGGGCAGCAGUGAGGAAUAUUGGUCAAUGGGCGAGAGCCUGAACCAGCCAAGUCGCGUGAGGGAAGACGGUCCUAUGGAUUGUAAACCUCUUUUGCCGGGGAGCAAAAAGCGGUACGUGUACCGCAUCGAGAGUACCCGGAGAAAAAGCAUCGGCUAACUCCGUGCCAGCAGCCGCGGUAAUACGGAGGAUGCGAGCGUUAUCCGGAUUUAUUGGGUUUAAAGGGUGCGCAGGCGGACCAUCAAGUCAGCGGUAAAAUCGUGGGGCCCAACCCCAUCCCGCCGUUGAAACUGGCGGUC